rnacentral:lncRNA from 1 species
AGGCAAAGGGAUGGCCCAAGGGAGGAGAUGGCCCAGGGGAUGUUAUCCAGGGAAAGAGGUUUUCCAGGGCAGGAAAAGUGCUGCCCCUGUCGGUGCCACGAGCACGUGUGGGGUCCCCCUGCCACCGCAGCGCAGCCUGGGGCCAGAGGCUUUGGGAGGCCAGGCCACAUGGCAGACGGGGAGCUGGAAGAGGCUGCCUGCGAUGGCCAGAGCAAGCGACUCGUGACGUGCAACCUGGACACAGAGAAGCAGCCUGGGCUUGUGGGAUCCUGGACAAAGGAGCACUGUGACCASGUGUUGGACUCCAUUGAUGCCCAGCUCAGCCAGUGGCAGGGCCAUGGUGUGCAAGUCAUGGGCAGCAGCAAAGACCAUGACAUCUCUUCUGACACUUCCCUCAAUGUCUCUUYGCUGGCUGAACCGGAAGAACACCCUACGGCCAAGGCUGAAUACCUCCAGGGUGAAGCCAGUCAAAGCAGCUCCAGCUCUGUCUGCACGGAGGACUUUGCUGCCAGGUUUCAGGAGGGUAUGGUUGAGCCUCUGGUGUUCUCCGAGGAUGAGGAAGACGAGCCCUUCUCAGUGGGGAGCAGGCAUGCCAGGGAUGUCCCAGCAGAAGGCAAUGGCAUCUCUUGCCCUGCUGAGGAUCAUGAUGCUGGGCAGGAUGAGUCCUUGCUCUCUACAGGGAGAAGACAGGAUGUCCCAUGGCAGUCGGAGGUGGAGCUGGGCUGUCCAUUGCAGAGCACAUCUCCAUCUCUGACGAGAAGGCAAAGCCUGGAGUCUCUGGGAGGGAGGAUAUCCAGACUGAGCCAGAGCAAUGCUGUGACUGCAGGGAUGGAGCCAGACAGCUUCCCAGCGUGGUGGGCUCCCAUGCCAGCCCCCUCUGAGCAGGGAUGGACUCUGCAUGGAGCUAAUGUGAGAGAGUGUUCAACAAGGAGACGUGCAGGAGUCCCUGUGCCUCGAGCCUCGGUCUCUGCAGACAGCAGUUUGCCAGGGGAUGGUGGUGCUGGGACCAGAUGGCAUCACAUGAGCAGGCCUGUGGGGUCAAGACAGCAGGAGCCACCAGCUCUCCGGAGACAGUCUGAAGGGGACAUUGCCCUUGCUGUGGCUGACAUGGACAUGGAAGAAGCUGGUGACAAGCUGAGGAGAGCUCAGUCCUGGGCCCAUUGUACCAAUACAGCAGCAAGACUCCCCAGGGUGUGCAGCGACGACUCCUUUGGGGACCGGGGCCCCAUGGACACCUACAAAGAGCCAUCGUCCUGUGGGGGCAGCCGCUGGAGGAGCAGCAGUGCGGAGAGGUGGACCUGGAGCCCAGGCAAAGUGGCCAAGCCCUGGUGGGAACAUGGGAGGCUGAAAGCCAGCCUAGACCAGAAGCACACAGGCAAGGAGCCAGCGUCACUGUGUUGGUCUCUGCAGAGGAACUGGAAGGGGGUUCAAGAGCUGGGGUCCUGUGCAAAGAAGAUGCAGAGCAAAGGAGACAAAGCCAGGACUGGCCCAGCACUCCUGGAACACACAGAUGAUGCCUGCUGGCAGGAGCUGAUGGAGCUGGAGAAGGAGAGACUCCAUGAGCUGGAGCAUCGUACCCGCUCCCUCCUGCAGCAGCGGCAGGAAGCCCUGGAUGAGCUGCACAUGUUGCUGCAGAAGGAGAAGAUGGACAUGCUUCGGCAGCUCCAGGAAGCCCUGGAGCAGGAACGGGCUCGCUACAGCACCUGGCUGCGAGUGCGUCUGCAGCGUCUGGAGCAGCAGCACCUUCUGUGGGCUCCACAUAGGGAAACUUCCUUGCAGAAGCCAGUGGUGCCAGGCCAGGCUGGGCGCUCCCUGGCAAGGCCUAUCAGCUUGGCAUGCCAGCRCCUCCAUGACUUUCUUCCUGACAACUCCAUGGGGCAGAACCCUUCAGCAGCAGUGUGUGGCUCAUCUCCACUCUCCCCCAGCCACGCGCUUGGAGUCCUGCAUGGCCUCAGUGAGGAAAUACAGCAUCACCUCAGAGACAUGCAGAGGGAGAGGGAGGCCGGGAGGUGCUCUGUCCUCCACCUUCAGAGAGAGAAGGAGCAUGAGCUGAGGCAGCAGCGAGAGUGGAUUCACAUGGAGAAGGAGGCAGGUCCAAGAGUCCUGAAGGAGCAGCUGAUCCAGAGACAAAGCAAAUAUCCACACUUCUGCUCCACUUCUUCCCUGUCCUCGAGCACCAUGCCUUGCCUCCGACAGCAAAACUUCAGGCGCUUGAAGGUCCUGCACCAAAUCCAGAACUAUGUGCAAGAGCUGCAGGCAGAGAACACCACCCACCGCACGGGCAACCUGGAGAACCUGACUGUCCUGAGAGGAGAGCUGGGCACCACAGCAAGGGAAAAGAGGCUCCUGAUGCCGGAUCUCAUCGUUCCCCCAUGCGCUGGUGUCAGCAGCAGGAACUAA